CGGCCCCGCUGCCUGCCCUGCUCCAGGCUCCACCUGCGCCGCCGAUCGCCCGGGUAUCGCGGGGGCCCAGGCCAGCUGAGUCCGUUUUCCGCGCCGGGGUGGCGCCCCUCCAACCGUCCUAACGCCGGGCCGGCAGCAAGGAGUGUUCCUGGGACCUCAGAGACCAGGCUCAGAGCCUGACAUCCCUGCGAGGGGACAGCCUCAUCCGCCCAGGCCAGUGGGGGUCUCUACAAGUGCCCAGGCUCAGGUGCAGCCCCCAGCAAUGCAUCGCCGGAGACUGGCCCUGGGUCUGGGGUUCUGCCUGUUGGCGGGCACAAGCCUCAGUGUCCUGUGGGUGUAUCUUGAGAACUGGCUGCCAGUCUCCUAUGUCCCCUAUUAUCUCCCCUGCCCAGAGAUCUUGCUGGAGUACCGUGGCGUGAUCUCAGCUCAUUGCAACCUCCACCUCCCGGGUUCAAGCAAUUGUCAUGCCUCAGCCACCUGAAUAGCUGGGAUUACAGGCACACACGCUAAUUUUUGUAUUUUUAGUAGAAACAGCAUUUCAUCAUGUUGGCCAGGUUGGUCUUUGCCCCCUUCGGCCAGGCUUCGCCCCCUCAUCGGCCUCCCAAAGUGCUGGGAUUAAAGGCGUGAACCACCACCCCUGGCCUUAAUUUUUUUUUUUUUUUAUUAUUACUAGUGAGACUCUCAUUUCCCUACGUCUUCCCGUUAAUUGAAAUUUUUCUUGUGUGAAGUGCUUCUUCCCCACCUUCUCUGUUUGGUCCGUUUGUGGGUUCUCUAUCAUCACUCUUGGCUAAGUAUACCUACAACUUUUUUUUUUCUUUCCAGUUUGUCUAUCUUGUGUGUGUGCGUGGCGGAGGGAGAUAAGGUCUGGCUC
rnacentral:lncRNA from 1 species